GAUGAACGCUGGCGGCGUGCCUAAUACAUGCAAGUCGAGCGAACAGACGAGGAGCUUGCUCCUCUGACGUUAGCGGCGGACGGGUGAGUAACACGUGGAUAACCUACCUAUAAGACUGGGAUAACUUCGGGAAACCGGAGCUAAUACCGGAUAGUAUAUUGAACCGCAUGGUUCAAUAGUGAAAGACGGUUUUGCUGUUCAUUAUAGAUGGAUCCGCGCCGCAUUAGAUAGUUGGUAAGGUAACGGCUUACCAAGGCAACGAUGCGUAGCCGACCUGAGAGGGUGAUCGGCCACACUGGAACUGAGACACGGUCCAGACGCCUACGGGAGGCAGCAGUAGGGAAUCUUCCGCAAUGGCCGAAAGCCUGACGGGGCAACGCCGCGUGAGUGAUGGAGGUCUUCGGAUCGUAAAACUCUGUUAUUAGGGAAGAACAAAUGUGUAAGUAACUAUGCACGUCUUGACGGUACCUAAUCAGAAAGCCACGGCUAACUACGUGCCAGCCGCCGCGGUAA
rnacentral:rRNA from 1 species